AUGUUACGUGUGUGUUACAGAUGCGAGCACCUCCUAACAAGCCCCCUGGUGGAAGGGGCAGCAGCACGUUGCUCGGGAGCUGUCAGAGACACCAGCAGCUUGCCGCAACUGCUGGAUAUGUUAUGUGUGGUCCAACUGGCAGCCUGCAGGCCAGCUCCAGGCUGCUGUGCUGAUCCAUCCGGCCCACCAGCUUCUUCUCUGGAAGAGAUGGAGAACAGCUGUUUGGAGCAACGACUGCACCCUCCAGCCGCCAAGCUUGUCCUCCAACACAAAGGCAAAACCCUGCUGCUGUUGACAGGAGGUGCCCUGGUGCAUGGAAGAGAGAUUGUGGAGUCAAUGCGCUAUUAAUCAG
rnacentral:lncRNA from 1 species